UUAGCUCUCUUUGCCUUUUGGCUUAGAUCAAGUGUAGUAUCUGUUCUUUUCAGUUUAAUCUCUGAAAGGUCUCAAAUGAGACCCUUAUUGAUUAUUCUUAUUUUUGGUCUUCGGGUCGUUUCCUCUGUGCUUGCGCAUGAUCCAACCCACAGUGUCCCUGGUAUUACACUGCCUCCAGGCGACGCGAACUCUU
rnacentral:snRNA from 1 species